CCUACGGGAGGCUGCAGUAGGGAAUUUUCCACAAUGGGCGAAAGCCUGAUGGAGCAACGCCGCGUGGGUGAAGAAGGUCUUCGGAUCGUAAAACCCUGUUGUUAGAGAAGAAAGUGCGUGAGAGUAACUGUUCACGUAUCGACGGUAUCUAACCAGAAAGCCACGGCUAACUACGUGCCAGCAGCCGCGGUAAUACGUAGGUGGCAAGCGUUAUCCGGAAUUAUUGGGCGUAAAGGGAACGCAGGCGGUCUUUUAAGUCUGAUGUGAAAACCUUGGGCUUAACCGGAGUAGGGCAUUGGAAACUGGCAGACUAGAGUGAAGUAGAGGAGAGUGGAACUCCAUGUGAAGCGGUGAAAUGCGUAGAUAUAUGGAAGAACACCAGAGGCGAAGGCAGCUCUCUGGUCUGUAACUGACGCUGAGGUUCGAAAGCGUGGGUAGCAAACAGGAUUAGAUACCCCUGUAGUC
rnacentral:rRNA from 1 species